UACGAAGGGGGCGAGCGUUGUUCGGAUUUACUGGGCGUAAAGGGCGCGCAGGCGGUCGUUCAAGUCGAGUGUGAAAGCCCCCGGCUCAACUGGGGAGGGUCACUCGAUACUGAUCGACUCGAAGGCAGGAGAGGGAAGUGGAAUUCCCGGUGUAGUGGUGAAAUGCGUAGAUAUCGGGAGGAACACCAGUGGCGAAGGCGACUUCCUGGCCUGUUCUUGACGCUGAGGCGCGAAAGCUAGGGGAGCAAACGGG
rnacentral:rRNA from 1 species